AGUGAACGCUGGCGGCGUGCCUAACACAUGCAAGUCGAACGGAGUGGCGCACGGGUGAGUAAUAUACAGCUAACUUGCCCAUUCCUACGGGACAACCGUUGGAAACGACUGCUAAUACCUUAUAGUAAUGGAUAGGGCUAUAUCGUAUCAGCUAGUUGGUAAGGUAACGGCUUACCAAGGCUAUGACGCGUAACUGGUCUGAGAGGAUGAUCAGUCACACUGGAACUAGGACACGGUCCAGACUCCUACGGGAGGCAGCAGUAGGGAAGAUAGCUCGAUGGGGGAAACCCUGACGCAGCAAGGCCGGGUGGAGGAUGACACUUUUCAGAGCGUAAACUCCAUGUCUUGGGAAAGCGGUACCCAAGGAAUAAGCACCGGCUAACUCCGGGCCAGCAGCCGCGGUAAUUC
rnacentral:rRNA from 1 species